AAAAAGACAAACGCUGGUUUUCAUAUCUAACGUUUGAUCGUCCGUCUUAUUUAAAAAAAUUAUAAAAAAAAUUAAAAAGACAAGACACGCAUAAAAUAUUAAUCAUGUUUUAUCAUCUAACAAUAAUAAAAUUACGAAUUAUAAAAAAAUUUCAUAUAAGACGGACCGUCAAAGUUGGACACGGAAACCCAGGGUUUGCCUUUUU
rfam:Oryza barthii chromosome 7, whole genome shotgun sequence.